rnacentral:rRNA from 1 species
AUGAGUACUACCUAUUUGCCGAUCAAGGUACUCCCAGGCGCCUUUCGUGCUCGUCCCUCUAUACUAUUGAUUUAUGUUCUGCAUCCUAUCGUGACAUGUUAUGUCUCGACAAUGCUUGCAGGAUCCGACGCUGAUAACACUGACAUCGAUGAGCCUGUAGACUCCAACACGGGAUCUAUCGAGCUUGAUCCUUUCGACUAUGUGUACUCGAACAUCCCAGACAGCACGCACAUCCUGAAGCACGCGGCGAACUGCGGAGUCAGAUAA